rnacentral:rRNA from 1 species
AUUGAACGCUGGCGGCAUGCUUUACACAUGCAAGUCGAACGGCAGCACGGACUUCGGUCUGGUGGCGAGUGGCGAACGGGUGAGUAAUACAUCGGAACGUACCCAGUAAUGGGGGAUAACUAGUCGAAAGAUUAGCUAAUACCGCAUACGCCCUACGGGGGAAAGAGGGGGAUCGCAAGACCUCUUGUUAUUGGAGCGGCCGAUGGCUGAUUAGCUAGUUGGUGGGGUAAAGGCCUACCAAGGCGACGAUCAGUAGCGGGUCUUAGAGGACGAUCCGCCACACUGGAACUGAGACACGGUCCAGACUCCUACGGGAGGCAGCAGUGGGGAAUCUUGGACAAUGGGCGAAAGCCUGAUCCAGCAAUGCCGCGUGCGUGAAGAAGGCCUUCGGGUUGUAAAGCGCUUUUGUCUGGGAGCAAAUCCUUGUGGCUAAUACCCACCGGGGAUGAGAGUACCAGAAGAAUAAGGACCGGCUAACUACGUGCCAGCCGCCGCCGUAAGAC